CAGAAUAUAGCUUAAACAAAGCAUUUUGCUUACACCAAAAAAAUAUCCGCACAGGAUUAUUCUG
rnacentral:tRNA from 1 species